CGCGUGCACUGGUUCGGCCGGGCCUUUCCCUCUGGGGAGCCGCAUGCCCUUCACUGGGUGUGUCGGGGAACCAGGACUUUUACUUUGAACAAAUUAGAUCGCUUAAAGAAGGCCUAUGCUCGAAUACAUUAGCAUGGAAUAAUAGAAUAGGACGCGUGGUUCUAUUUUGUUGGUUUCUAGGACCGCCGUAAUGAUUAAUAGGGACAGUCGGGGGCAUCAGUAUUCAAUUGUCAGAGGUGAAAUUCUUGGAUUUAUUGAAGACUAACUACUGCGAAAGCAUUUGCCAAGGAUGUUUUCAUUAAUCAGGAACGAAAGUUAGGGGAUCGAAGACGAUCAGAUACCGUCGUAGUCUUAACCAUAAACUAUGCCGACUAGGGAUCGGACGAUGUUAUAUUUUGACUCGUUCGGCACCUUACACGAAAGUAGAGUUUCUGGGUUCUGGGGGGAGUAUGGUCGCAAGGCUGAAACUUAAAGAAAUUGACGGAAGGGCACCACCAGGGGUGGAGCCUGCGGCUUAAUUUGACUCAACACGGGGAAACUCACCAGGUCCAGACACAAGUAGGAUUGACAGAUUGAGAGCUCUUUCUUGAUUUUGUGGGUGGUGGUGCAUGGCCGUUCUUAGUUGGUGGAGUGAUUUGUCUGCUUAAUUGCGAUAACGAACGAGACCUUAACCUGCUAAAUAGCCCGCAUUGCUUUGGCAGUGCGCCGGCUUCUUAGAGGGACUAUCGG
rnacentral:rRNA from 1 species